UAUUCUGCCCCAUGGGGAAGGAUGAGAAGCUUCGACUAAGGUUCGACUCGAGCGAAGCGAGAACGUUGCCGCAGGCAACGGCCCGAAGGGCGAGGCGCUUUAGCGCCGAGUAAUCCUUCCCCACCACCA
rnacentral:sRNA from 1 species